GGGGAUGAAAGGAUUUCGACGGGGAUUUUGAAGCAUAAUAAGCGAGUAGUGGUGUGAGCCCACUUUAAUCUCUCACACGUUUACAAAAUAAACGACAACAAACCAGUUUUACAGGCUGCCUAAAGGCAACCCGUCUUAACUAAGAGUACCGCGGCUUAGAUUAAGGCGACUACUAGCGGUGAACGUGAAUUGUGUAGUGUCUCGCACACAAUCAUGAUUUAGAGGCUACCGACGGUACCAGCCCGCUUAUUGGCAGGUGCUUGGGGGAAUCUUUUAAAUUAAGCUACACUCGUAGAAAGUUAUGUGAAUGGAUUUUCGGACGCGGUUUCGAUUACCGCCAUCUCCACCA
rnacentral:tmRNA from 1 species